CUCGGGGCAGCGGCGGGCUGGCGUGGCCCGCGCGUGCGCUCCCGUUGGAACGGGCUGCUGAGGGAGCUGGCGGAGUAACUCCCUGCAGGUUGGACUCGAUGAUCCCAGAGACUUCUCCAGGCUGAUGGGUUCUGCGGUUGUGUCCCGCUCGCAUGCGCUAUCGCCGCCGCUGGCGAGCGGGACACGGCGCGGGCCGGGGCGCUCCAGCCCUGGCACUGCUGCGUGUGCCACGAGAGGGCAGCGGAACCCUGGAAACCCGGACGGGAGCGCAAACCUGUCCCAAAACAGGCACUACGUUAGAAUAGAUAUUUCCAGUGUUCAGAGCACAAACACUUUGGCUCCACGUAAAUAACAAGCUGUCAAAAUAACAGGGCUUAUCGCUUCAGAUGCUGUGCUGGUAAUUGUCCACGCCUAGUUGUCAAACGAAUCACUAUUUUAAACUUGCUCCACGCACACGAUGACCUGUGCCAGGAGACCUGGGAAGGGGGAGGGAAAAAGCAAAGAAAGGCAAACAAGUCUAGUAAUAACUGAGGUGGAUGGCAUUCUUCUCAUUCCCAAGGCCUGACAGGCCGAUUCUGGAUAAUGUGAUUUGUGGAAAAGUCAUUCUGUUCUCCAAGGCAUAGUUCAGAGGUUAACUGGAGAUGGUUCUACAUCCAUUUGAGGGAAUGUUAGCAGGGAGUAAUGUUAUUAAUCCCAAAUAAUGUUAUUUUAUAGGCAUGGUGACAAUCAAACGCACUUUUUUCAAGCCUCUGUUUCACUUGCAAAUAUUCUCAAGACACCAUAGUGAAUAAACAACCUCUUAUUUUCUAUGGCACCUUUCAUUCUGUAAAACCUAAAGUGCUUUCAAAAGUAUACUAUUAAAGUAGAAAAAUCAACUAAAUGACCAGUGAAAGGCAUCCAAGCAGGAACAUGGUGGUGGCUGCAUGGUUCUCGACACUGUUGCAGGCAGGAAGCAGGUAUGAAGAUGCCCCUAGAACUUAAGGAGCACUUUGGAAAAUUGCAAAGAUUUUGUCUGAGAUAUGAGUGAUAACACCUUUACUACUUCAAAGAAAAAACACCAUUAAGUCUUUCCUUCCCAUAAAUUGUUCUUAUCCAGAGAAUAAACCUCUCCGUAAAAUAUGUAACAGAAUACAAAUGUUUGAUUUGUAUGUGUAUCUCGCAUGCCCAUACACGCUAUUUCGUAACAUCAUUUAAACAAUUUUUAGAACUGUGAGACACACAUACUCCACUUUACCUCAGAUUAUCACUUAAAUGAGCUGGCUUUGUUUCAGUCAUUUCCUGCUCUGCCCAACACCUUUUCUGCAAGCAAUUUGGGAUGGGAAGGGAUUUGCCUGUGGGUAGUGGCAUUGUGGCUCCCUGUGGGUGGCUCAGCAUCACGAUUGCCAUUCAUUUUUGCAGGGAGAGGCUGUGCUGCUGUGCAGGGGCUCUCAUCCUCCGUCCCAUCACAGCUUCCGUGGCUGCAUCCACAUCCAUAUCCCAUGGAACCCCCGCUAUGUGCUGCAGCAGGAGAGGGGCUUUGAGCUUCUAGGAGAGUAUUUAUUUGUCCCUGUGUGCAGUGUGUUUCUGUGUGUUCAAAAUUGUUGUCAUUUAGAUCUAGAAUAUUAUUUUCCUUGUUUAUUGGUAAAAGUCAUCAGGAAAAAAUUGAUUGAAAGGUAAUUAGCCAUCUCUUUGGUGACAUUCUUAUAUCCAACACCCACAAAACAUGAUGCAAUUAAAGCUUUGUAAAACAUGCCUUUUAAAAAAAUACUUCAGAUAAAUGCUACCAGAUCAAUCAGUUGUGGUUGAAACCUGUUGGACACAUACCAUUGUCUGUUUUUAACAUCCCACAGACAGACAGACACGUAGAAGGGGAGUGUGCAAAAGAUUCAUGUCCAGUCUUGCAGACAAGGGCAAUUAGCCUGGCUUAGCACACGUAAGGUGAUGUCAACAAACAUCCUCCUCCAGAAACACCAGAUUCCAAUACUGUGGAGUGAGUAUGUGCUGCUUGUCACUGCUCCUCUCCAACUGCUCUCAAAACUGAGACAUCAGUAUUUAAUAUUAAAAAGCCUGAGGUAACAAGGGGUAUAAGGCAGUCCUUAUGUAAAUUGUUCAUGGGGUAGGUUCUUAGGAAUUUGGAGUAGGGCUAUUUCUCCAGCAAAAGAUAUUAAAUGGGCAGAGCUGAGAGCACCUUCCACAAGUGUGCUGGGAUCCAAAAAUUUAUAUGUCUCCAUUGCAUAAAUCUCCAUUCACUGCUUAGCCCAAGCAAAGGAGUUUUAACAUGUAGCUUCUGUCCAGAAGCAAUUUAUUUACCUCAUUAAUCAGUGACUUAUUACUGAAGUGCAGAACAUCACUGGUCCAUCAGCUUUUGUUUCAGAAGAUGAAAGUCCCUCAUAACACACCUGGAUGCUUCUACAGUCCAAUGCAAGGUGCAGAGAAAGAUGAACCUAGUGGCAUAGAGGGGGCUGGGGGAAAUUACAGUGCAAGAGAGCAGAUAAGAGUUGGAAAAAUGCAGACUGUAAACAAAGACGUUUCUGUUCUCAGGUUGGCCAAGUGGUUGCUGCUAAGUCACAAUAACCCUGGGUUGUCACCUUUGAAUUUUACUUGUCAUUCUGGUAUGCAAUACAAGAAUGUGUGUCGUUUCAUCAUUCUCCUUGCCUGCACAGGUUACCUAAUUAAUUUACUACAAACUAUAAAAGUAAUUCCUUGUACUAAUUGCUUUGUCUGCUGCAUGACCAAAGAGGAAGCUGGGACUUUGAAACAAGGUGGUUUUCUUUAGGUGAGAAAAGUGAGACAUACAAAGUCAGGCUAUUUUGUCUUUGUCUUAUUCCCUCGCAAUAUAUGUACAAAGCUUUCCUACUCCUGAUAAAAUGAGAAAGUCUCAAAAACACUCCAGCAGAUAGCAGUAGAUCCCUGACAUUUGGUCAUUUGUGUCACUGAUGUUCAAAUUUAAAUGUUGGGGUUUUUUUCUGUUUUUUUCCAUUGUUAUUGUUGGUUGUUCCCUUAAGAAUUAAAGACUGCUUAAACACAGUAGUAGAAGCCAAGAAGACCAAUUGCUCUUCUUCACAGUAACAAACAUUGUUGUUAUAAGUAAAAGAAAUACUAUAGCAGGAUCUUGUUCUCCGUCCACAAGUACAGUCUUCAGGUGGUCAGAAAUUUCAGAGAUUGAGUCCAGUGGAUUGGCAAAUUUAACUAAAACGCUUGUAACUAAAAGUUAUACAUCAAGUGUUUUGUUAUAUGUGUUAUACAUAUGUGUAGGAAAAAAGUAGGGGAGUGUCGGGUUUCGGCAGGUAACCAGAAUGCUGUAUAUACAAUAACACUAGAUGGCUGCAGCGUCUCCAAGAAACUGCUGGCGUCUGCAGGUUUGAUUUUGCAGCUUGUGCACCUGAAAUACACACAGUGUGAUGUGUUGAUCAGUGGAAUGUGUUUGUGUGCCAGCCCCUCUGUGUUAGUAGGCAAUCCAGUUCUCUGAUCCUGCAGGCAGAGCUAUAGGAUGGGCAUUUGCUGACAUCUAGACUUAAGCAUCCCACCAAAUGACAUGAAUAUCAUGCUGUGGUGGGGCAGCCUUCCUCCAGAUUUGUUAUGUCCCUGUUACCAGGAGCUGAAUCACAUGUGAAGCAACUCCUGAGACACUAAUUUCUAACCUGGCCUUUUGAGAAACCUGAUAUCCCCGUAACUGCCAGGCAAAGGGUGGAGUAUGCAGAGGGAGGCAGAAACCUCUGUGGCCAUUCAGCUUUAAUCAACCAUAUUUGUUUGUUUACAAGGAUGUCUAAAUAAUACCACCCACCAUUCUGUUCAUCAACAUCCCAAAGGUUUCCAGCAUACAGUUCUCAAGUUUCUAGCUCCUGUUGCAACAUGCAGCCCGGACCAGACAGAGCAGGAUUUGGGUUGUCAGGGAAAAGGAUUGAUAGCGGGAUGUUACGCUUCAGCAGGUAAUCUGUUCUCUUGAGAAGCAGGAUCCUUCCUUAAAAGAUGCUGCAAAAGUGACAAAAUAAUUACCAUGUAAGUCUGACAGUUUCAGUGAGCUCUUAAACUGGUGUUUGAAUACACAACUUUUAUUCAUAUAUUAGAUGAAUUGUUGCUUGUGUCUUCUCACAAUGACCAGGUCUGGAUGUUUCAGCAUCACUGUUUGUAACUGAUAAUACAUCUGCUGAGAAAUGUCAGUUUAAUCAGCUCAUCACCCAGUCCAAAUCUUUCAAGUAUAAUUUAUGUCAGCAGUGUGUUCCCUGGCUUACUUUGGGUGUCACAAAAUCCCCUUCUAGUUUCUCUGCCCAUAAUUGUUUGGCUCUUUGCAAUAUUUUGUGGCUGUGUAUCCAUGCAGGCAUCAAAUUCAUGUGUAAUGAGACCUAAUACUUUCUGCUUCAAAAUUACAUUCUGCUCUCCAUUGACACGUAUGCGUACUAGGAUCAGAGCUUACAACUUCAUUUCGAGGCACCCCAGGAAGGUCAGGUGGAACCAAACCCUGGAAGGCACCUAACCAUGUUGCACAAAGCUCCUGCCUGGUACAUAAAACACCUUUUUGCUUGUGGCUGCAAGAAAUUAAAAUGUUACUGUUAAGGCAGAGAUGAAGAGCACAGAAAUUCUUCUGUGCUUUAGUUUGCUGCUCAUCACUCUUGUCAAUUUGCCAGUUAAGCCUGGAGAUCCUAACAUCCCAUCAACUGCAGCCUGUGACCCACUGGGUGUUGAGAAUUCAUAAACUAAGGGAUCUGGAAAAGCUGAUCACAGGAUGCAGCUUUGCAUGUGCUGCACAGCAACCCACAGAGGUGUGAGCUCAGGGAGUUCUCACCUUGAUUUGAGCAUGCCAACUCCCUGCUUCUCCCCACAGAGUCAGCUCUAACCAGGAAUGAUUACAUUUUUGAGUGUCACAUGAGACAAGGACCUUUAAGUCACACUGAACAAAACCCACCCCUUGUGAAAUUUUUGCUGUCAGGCUAAGGAAGGGCACAAACAUCUGUGAGCUCAAUGUAUACCAAACAUGCAUGUUGAAAUCUUACUACAGGUUGAGAGCACAGAGUGGGGAGACGUAUAUGCACAGGCAAACACAGUGCUGAUGACACAAGAGUGAUAGAAGCACCACAAUGCUCACAAAACUGUGCAUGGGUAAUAAACCAGAUCCUUUUGUGGGUUUUGAUUGCAGGGAUUCAGCUGGAUCUGAUGACAGCUGGUUUGCAUGAGACAAUCAGUCUUGCCUUUGGUAACUCAUUCAGAACUGGGCUAGCUACAGUAUUUAUCACCAUCUAAUGUUUUUUAUUCAUUUCAUCAUCAUUACAAAUAUCAGGAAAUGCUGCACAAUUAGCAAACCCAUGUUUUAACCCCAGUAAACAGGAGGGCCAGAUUCACAUUCACAUUGCCUUCUCAAAGGUUUCUAGAACCACAGUCAUGGUGGUGAAGGAUCUGUCAGUGCCAUUAAGAAUUUUUUUUCCCAGAGAUAGUCAACACCAUUAAUAAGCUUAGAUUGUCUCCAGGGGAACCUGCUUGGUACAAGGGUUGCCUGCAAUUUUACUAACUAAUGUGAUUUAUUUGUGUUUUGCAAUAUAGGACCCAAAAUUCACUUAGUUCACAGCACACAGAUGGUAAAGUCACCAUCUCACUUAAAAUACCAUUCCUUCUGAUUCCUCCAUGAUUAGUUUUUGCUGACUCACAAGCAACUUCUACUAUGCAAGAGUAUGUUGAUCUUCAGCAACAGGUAACAGCAUACAUAGACACAGAGCCUCCAGCCUGGUAAGUCUAGCAUGUGUCAGAAAUGUGGGCUCAGGCAGCCACAAGUGGCUCUCUGCAUCCUUGGUGGGGUGGAGAACACAGCCCUUAAUACAUGCUUCUAGCAUAUCUGCUGAGAAAUGAAACUCCCUUCCCUCACACUCACCACAGCACAAAGGUAUUUUGAAUCCUACAAAAGGCAUGCCAAAAAUCAGAUUUUUCCAUCAACAGAGAAAAUGAGGAAUGUGUGUAUCUGGUCUGUUGGGCUCCAAGGGGGAGAUGAUUAAUCACCAGCAAGGGAGGAUGAGUGUAGAUGGCAAGUCAGCAUCUCUAAGUAUUUUGUUUUUCCUCCCAUAUCCCUUUCUCCUUUUAAAAUGAAUUUUAAGAGAUUAUUUACAGUAAAGUCCCCUCCACAUGCUUUGGCAUCUUGUCUGAAGUCACAUUCUUUCUGCCAGCAUUCAGAAAACACUGGUCUAGAAAACAGGACCUACCUUAUAGACAAACCAAGAAGAACAGUGUUUCAGGAAUAGCUGUAGGUGAAGCCUUGGAGAGGGACUAAGAUGGCCUGUCAAGGGCAAGUGAAUGGAAUCCCAGCCUCAGUGAACCCACUGAGUAUUUUGCCCCAUCACAGUAUAUUCUUUCCUCACCAAAUUUCUGUCAAAAUUCUCAAGAUUUCACCAGAAAUUUUUUGUACCUCUAGAGUCUGCUGUUGAUGAGAGCUUCUGCUAUGAUUCACUCAGGCUGUACAGUCCAAGAAUGAAUGACUCAGCAUAAGGGAUGAGCAGAAGACAAGCCAUGGAUACGGAAAUAUCUCCCAAGUGCUGUAUAUAGACUACGGAUUCAUCAUGAGCCAACCUGGAAACUUCAGUCUGAGCAGCAGUCUUAAAUUACUAGGGACACGAAAAGCAAAGAACACUGAACCAAUGCGCUGAGGAGGGAGAGCACCUCAGUGCCGGUGCCAUAUCUGAGCUCCUGUGCCCAUUCUGUCACAAGAAGAAGUGCCAGAUAUGGGGACACACUGCAGCAGUCACCUGGUGCUGCACACAGUUGUACACAGACUGUGAUGUAAGAUCCACAGUCAUGUUACCAACCUCAGUUCACAAACAGUGGAGCCACAGAUAUCCUCCGGGAUGUCCAGAGGAAAUACACACCCAAGAACUGGAUAUCAGAGUUGUACACAAAUGAAAGAGCAUCGAUUUGGCUUCAGCAGGAGAUUUCUUAAAUAACAGGUUUUUCAGAAACACAUGCUAUUUGUCAAGUACAUCCUGAGGUCAUCCAGACAGGUCCUUGACUACUGAACCUAUCUGCUCAUCAAGGACAGUUGUUUUCAACAUUUUUCAGCUUGGGAAGCCCCUGUAUACUUUACCAGUGGAGGUCAGGUCUCAUGCAGUAUAUUUAAAUUUGCUAACAGUCAGCCUGCUUUCCUCAGUUACUCCUCCUUAGUACUGGAGCAGCUAGAUCCAUAGGAACUGACAACCACUGCUCAAGGCCAUGUUUACAGUAUCUUUUUUUUUUUUUUUUUUUUUUUUGAGAUCCCAUGUGGCAACUCUUAGUGCUUCUGUUGAAUCCUGGGAUAAGUGAGCUCCAUCAUUUCACUGAAUGGGGGAAAUCUAGGCUCUGAUAUAUUGCAUGUCAACAGUCACUGUUCCCAUUUUUUUUAGAAGGUGUACAACAAUGUAUACCCCCUCCAAGCAGGAAACAGUAAAUUCUGUAAUGAAACUGUGAAAGAGCAAUUAUGAGUGCAAUUAAGGUGAAAUAUAGCUCUAUUGAAGUUGGUGGGAGUUUUAUUAUUAACUAAAGUUUCACCCCUGUGUUUCGGGUGGAUAGUUAUCCUGUUCAAGCAAAGAAAUUGUUACUUAAUCAAAAUGACAUUUAUAAUGCAGUAUUACUUUCGUAUUCAAACAUUCAGGACACGUUUACUUUAAUCAGUUCUAAUUAAAUUGUUAUACAGGAAAAAGUUUUAGGUCUACUGGUGAGUGCUCAUAUAUUCAGGGGAAAAGCAAUGCAAAUUGUCCAGGAUCCCAUUAAGUGCUAUUUGUAGUUCUUAAACUAUGUGAUGUUUUAGCAAGUCACAUACAACUCUUCUGUUCUACUCCUCUGAAACCGAUUGUCCUAAACUGAGAGUGGACGCUUCUGAACUAAAGCAACCGCAAUAUUUACAAUGAUGCAGCAUUUGCAACAAGGUAAAUGAAGCAGUGAUUGCCAAACCUUCAGCCCCACUCAUUGCGAGGUUUAAGCAGCACUUUCACAGCCACUGGGAUUCUCCAGGUAUUAAAAGCGAGGAAGCAAAGAGGUUGAGGGAUGCUCUGGAUACUCUCACACCCCAUCUCUGGGCCAGGAUACAGGGUUGGCACAUGCCUGGCAGACCCUGCCCAGCCUGGCUUCUUCCCAGCAACAGAUCAAGAGAGGGUGGAGGGUACCCAUUUUCCUGCAUUGGGCAGAGUCAUGAUGGGGGUAGAAAACCAGGUGAAGUCCAGGCCUGGCUGGAGCUUUGCAGGCCUGCUAACACCUCAGAGAGUAAAAAGGGAGGCCCGGGUCAACAAAAGCACUCUUUUGCGUUCCUCCUCAUCACCUUUUCAUACAAUUUCAUGGUGGAAAACCCAACCCUUCCCUCAUAUCUUCUAUCUUUUUUGUCACGGUCCCUUGGAUCUAGUCCAUCUAGUCCCAUCUAGUUUUACAAGUCUGCUCAUGACAAUGCAGAACAUGAAAAUAUCCUGCCCUUCCAGCGUGACCCUGAUCAUGACUUGUCCUUUGUCAGGGCCACAGAAGCAACCCCCUGGCACCCCCAGAACACCAAGGUCCCAGCAGAAGAGUAAGGCACCUCCCCCUCACACCCAGCUCAGCUUGCUUCCUUCCUUCCUUGUUGGCACUGGUCCUCAAGCACCUCUACUACCUUUUCUGCUCCUCAUCAGCUCUCCAGCAUCACUCCUGUCUCCUCCUCCACUCACACUUGACUGCCUCACCAGUGUAUGGCCCCAAGCUGCUCACCACUGCUCUGCUACCCAUCACAUCCCAAACCAGGCACCAUCCUCUCUUGGCUGAGACCUGGUGCAUACUUAAAACCACCGGUGGAGAGGCAUGCAGGUGUUGUGAGGUGAGGAGCUGCUGAUGGGGACCCCCUCUGUGCCUGCAUUGCCACCAUCCAGCCUGAAGCAUCACAGAAGGAAAACAGAGGGUUUGGGUUGUGCCAUAACUCAGAAAGCAGCCAGCACAGCACAGUACAAUGCAGCUCAGCCUGCCUUGGGAAGGUGUUGAUGAAGUAUGCUAACUUGUCUCUUGGCUGAGAAAAGUAUGGACCCUGAAGGCAGGUAGUCCACAGGAAAGCAAGCGAAUCUGUCCUGGCUCUGGAGGCCUAAAGAGCAGUGACUGGGUUUAAGCACUUGGUAAAACAUCUUUUGAAGUCAGCCCUUCAGCCCAACUCAGUGAGCACAAAGGCACUUCCAUUGUGCACCAGAGGAAGUAGUGUGCCUGGCAAGCCACCGGGCCCGACUUCCCAGGGCAGAGUUCUGGGCAGCUGCUUCCCAUGUGGUUCACCAGGGCUCCUUUCACAGCAGGGUGGCGUGGGGACAACAUACGUGCUCCAGGAUCCAAAUACACCGGGCAUUUGAGCCUUCUCUGCUCUUAAAGGGCUGGUGGACACACCAACAAGCAGAACUGGUGCUGAGCUAGGUGUCAACUUUUUCUCCUCUGUGUUUGGGGAAUUGCCUGGGGCAACAGCUUCCUUAAGAGAUGCAGAGAAGGUGCAGAGUGGUUUUGAUUAUAUAGGCAGUGUUUGCUCAUUUUGAGAAUUAGGUGUUAGUAAGUUCUAAUUAUGUGAAAGAAGAGCAAAAACUGAAAUGUAUUUAGGCUAUGACAAGGGUCUGGAAUAAGACACAAGAUUUGCAAGAGUUAACACAUUAUGUCUAACAGAGUCAGAAGCUCCUCAUUACCUCAAAAAGCUAAUUUUUGCACCAUGAGUGCAUUGCAGUGAAACAACUUCCUCCUAUGUGACCCCAAACCUUCACCUGGACAAGCUGUACACAUGCAGGCCACUGCCAAGUUAGCAAGAGAACCAUUUCACAGGAAGCUGGAGUCUUCUGGAAACUUCCGUUUACAGGAAUGCAAAUAUUAUGCAAUUCCUCUUUGAACCCACACAUCUUUUUUUUUCCCUUUGACCUGUCCCUGCUGUGAGGGGCUGCUGGCUGAGGCAGCGUGGGCUCGCUGGAGCCAUGCCCACUGACACCCUGCCUGGCACCCGGCUCAGCAAGGCAACAGCCCCACGAUACCCCCAGGCUGGCACUGACACCCUCAUGCAAAGGUGCUGCAAGUCCUCACCUAAAUCACACUAAUACUGCAUGGCUGGCAUGGCAGAUCAGGCAAAGGUAGCUAAAACCUAGAGAAGAAAAAACCCCAUAUAGUCACCCAGGUCCAAGCCCACAGUGGUGGAUGCUGCACAGAACAUACCCUCCCUCUCCUUUCUCAGCUGUUGGCGAGUACCCCCAUAACACAGCAUCAAAUCCACCCCUUUUCCCACUCUCUCACACAGAAAUCCAAUGUCUCUCUGCCUGCUACAUCCCAAAACCUUUCUUAUACCAGAGUGAAUAUUAAAGUCAAGAAGGUGAUUGCAUUGUGUCAAUGUGCCAUGCUGCAGGUGUACAAAACAAACCAGGAGGUAAUCAAGCAAUCUGUCCAGAUCCAGCCUUAAACUAAGGGGUCAGGGAAUGGGACGGAAAACAAGGUCUAAUGUGUAUGUAUGAUGAAAGGUUGACAGUUAUUUCAUUGUGUGCAUCAGUGUGAAAAACCACAGUGACAAUGAUACUGGAAUGUGUUUUUCGUCACCAUGAAUACUUCAUGCCAGGUGGAGAGACCUUUCACAUGCAUGAGAAAUCCUGUGCUUUGGGGGCUGCACAACUUAAAGAAGAUGGGCCCUGAAACCACUAGCAAAAAUCCUGUUCUCCCAGACAAGCUGUGGCAGAAAGAGAUGAAGUUAUUUUCAUGUGAGACAUGCCUAAAGCCAAACAGCAGAGGAGCACCUCUCCCAGCCUCACCUCACCUGUGCAGAGCUGCACCUGCUCAGGGAUUUGCCCUGCUACUGCAUGUUAUGGCUUCUGGGCAGUUUUUUGAAACAGAACUCACAUUUGACAGACAUCCUCCUUUGCAACUGCAGAGUAUCUCAGUGAACCCUGUAGCAGUAAUUUUUAUGGAAAAUCUGGGAUUGCACAGUAGUAACUGGGGCAUGAGAGAACAACACAAUGGCCCAAACAACACAACAGUUUUGAGGAGUCACCACUAAAUGUAUCUCUCUUGCUUUCUAGGCUUCUAACUUAGAAAUUGUAGUACAGAUAGACCUUGCCCAACCCCCUCACCCACUCUCCUAGAUGCAAGGAGCUCCCUGUGAGCUCGUGCUUGACUUCUCCGCAGUAGAGAAGUACCCUCUGCUCUGAAGAUGAUUCCCACAAGCUCCAAGUUGACAGAGAUGAUAAGAAACAAAGGAUGCAGCUGUACACCCAGGGGAUCCAGAGACACAACAGCUUUCCACAUUUGUGGACUUCUUUGGGUGGAGAGUUUUCUCAUGACUGAGGAAAUUGAUGCAUCCAUCAAAAACUAAGCUGAUGCUGACUAAGAGUUUUUUUCUCUUCCUGUUACAUCCUCUGCAGCUCAAGAGGGAAUUUCCUGCCCAGUUAAGAUUUGGAGAACACACUCCACACUCUCAGCAUAUGGGUGAAUGGGAAGGAGGCCCAGCCCAAGGACUGCCACCUGCAGGGAAAGGGCAGAUGUAGUGUGGGCCAAAAGCCACAGUAGCCACAGUCCCUGGGCCAGGCUGUCCCUGUCUUCCCUGCUUGGCUGGUUCCUUCUCAUCCCUGUGCUCUGCCCCAGGACAGCAACAUACAGCUCAGCCCCAGGACCCCACCUUCCCCUCACUAACAAGCUGGACUUUAAGGAAAAGGAGUUGAUCUUCUACAAAACUCCCAAUUAAAUGGUGUGAUCUGACAAUACUCUCACUGCCAGACAAGACAUGAAGAUGCAAGAUAGAGGCAUCUUUCCUUUCUUGUUGUACUUCAGCAGCAACUGGAUUCAAUAUACACAGGGAACGUGAUCUUUCCCAUGUCAAGGGUGUUCACAAGGUUCAGACAAAAGCACAUUAAUAAUCAGUUUCCCUUUUCUGUACUUUUUUCAAGCUUGGACACCAAAACCAAGCAUCAUCUUUAUUUCUUGUCUGUGGGCUGUUUUUGAUGAGGGCUGGAAUUGGUGGCGUUUUCCCUUUGGAAGGUUUCACUGCUGUUCAUAAUACAAGCACAAAUUGGUAAAAUCUCCCUUUGGAUUCAGUAGAUGCAUUUACACUGGCAUAAAAGUCCUAAGCAUCCUAAGGCUUUUUUCUGAUUCUAUGCUAAACUAUUCAAGUGUAAACCAUCUUGAUGCUAAUAUAGCAAAUAAAAGUUGAAAAAGUACAUAAAACACAGUUACGCUACUAAAACUUUCCAAGUGUAGACAAAAGUAAUCACAUGCAACAACUAACAGCUUUGUGGAGCCCUCUAGACUCUGAACAUUGUCAUAUAUUGUGUCAACACAGGGCAUUUCCAAUUUAAUUAUCAGUUUCAUACACACAAACACACCCUCUUGUGAAAGUACCUAGAGCAUUGAAAUCUUGUGCUCACUGCCAGCCAUUUUCAUUCCAUGUUUGCCCUAGCCCACGGCUAGAGUACUUGUCUUGCACACAUUCCAGGGGAUAUUUUA